CCCUUAGAUGUUCUGGGCUGCACGCGCGCUACGCUGAUGCACUCAACGAGUUUACGACCUUGCCCGAUAGGGUUGGGUAAUCUUUUUAAAAUGCAUCGUGAUGGGGAUAGAUUAUUGCAAUUAUUAAUCUUCAACGAGGAAUUCCUAGUAAGCGCGAGUCAUCAGCUCGUGCUGAUUACGUCCCUGCCCUUUGUACACACCGCCCGUCGCUCCUACCGAUUGAGUGCUCAGGUGAAUAAUUCGGACUGCAGCAAUGUUUGGAUCCCGAACGUUGCAGCGGAAAGUUUAGUGAACCUUAUCACUUAGAGGAAGGAGAAGUCGUAACA
rnacentral:rRNA from 1 species